GUUUCGCUGUUUGAAGAUUGGUUCUCACAUUAUUUUGUACCUAAAGUGAAAAAAUAUUGUGAAGAUAAAUCAACACCUUUUCAAGUAAAUCUGCUUGUAGAUAAUGCACCCGGUCAUCCACCCUCUCUUCGUCACCACCACCCUAAUGUCAAAAUCAUAUUCUUGCCACCAAAUACAACUUCUAUUUUGCAACCAAUGGACCAGGGUGUCAUCCCCACAUUUAAAGCACUGUACCUUCGGCAGACAUUUGAAAUGUUGAUUAAAGCAACAGAUAAUGACACAGGUCCAAGUCUUAAAGAUUUUUGGAGAAAGUCAUUUAAUAUUUUAGAUGUAAUAAAAAUUGCAGCAUAUGCCUGGAACAAAAUUUCAGAGACAACCAUGAAAGGUGUUUGGAAAAAGCUCUGCCCUCAGUUGUUUGGUACUAAUGUUGAAGGAUUUGAAGAACCAGCAGAAAUUGUACAGCAAAACAUAGAAGCAAUAGUUACUCUUGCCAAUAGAUUGUACCUGGACAUCUCUACAAGUGACAUAAAUUACCUUCUUGAAGCGCACAAGGAAGAACUAUCAAAUUAAGACCUCUUAGAUAUGGAAGAACAAAAGGAAGUUGAAGAGGUAGAAGAUGUAACAGCACCUAAAAACUCCUGUUCAUUCUUUCACUUUGAAAGGCCU